rnacentral:rRNA from 1 species
CCUACGGGAGGCAGCAGUGGGGAAUAUUGGACAAUGGGGGGAACCCUGAUCCAGCCAUGCCGCGUGUGUGAAGAAGGCCUUAUGGUUGUAAAGCACUUUAAGCGAGGAGGCGUUACUCGCAGAAUAAGCACCGGCUAACUCUGUGCCAGCAGCCGCGGUAAUACAGAGGGUGCGAGCGUUAAUCGGAUUUACUGGGCGUAAAGCGUGCGUAGGCGGCUUAUUAAGUCGGAUGUGAAAUCCCCGAGCUUAACUUGGGAAUUGCAUUCGAUACUGGUGAGCUAGAGUAUGGGAGAGGAUGGUAGAAUUCCAGGUGUAGCGGUGAAAUGCGUAGAGAUCUGGAGGAAUACCGAUGGCGAAGGCAGCCAUCUGGCCUAUCUGACGCUGAGGUACGAAAGCAUGGGGAGCAAACAGGAUUAGAUACCCUUGUAGUC